rnacentral:rRNA from 1 species
CCUACGGGGGGCUGCAGUGGGGAAUAUUGCGCAAUGGGCGAAAGCCUGACGCAGCGACGCCGCGUGAGGGAUGAAGGUCUUCGGAUCGUAAACCUCUGUCAGCAGGGAAGAACGGUCACUGUGCUAAUCAGCAGUGAAUUGACGGUACCUGCAAAGGAAGCACCGGCUAACUCCGUGCCAGCAGCCGCGGUAAUACGGAGGGUGCGAGCGUUAAUCGGAAUUACUGGGCGUAAAGCGCUCGUAGGCGGUCUGUCAAGUCAAGGGUGAAAUCCCCGCGCUCAACGUGGGAACUGCCUUUGAAACUGGCACAGGGGAGUGUGUGUGAGGAUAGUGGAAUUGCAGGGGUAGGAGUGAAAUCCGUAGAUAUCUGGAGGAACAUCAGUGGCGAAGGCGACUAUCUGGCACAUAACUGACGCUGAGGAGCGAAAGCGUGGGUAGCAAACAGGAUUAGAUACCCCUGUAGUC